rnacentral:rRNA from 1 species
CGUAGGGUGCGAGCGUUGUCCGGAAUUAUUGGGCGUAAAGAGCUCGUAGGCGGUGUGUCGCGUCGGCGUGAAAACUUUCAGCUUAACUGGGAGCUUGCGGUCGAUACGGGCAUCACUGGAGUUCGGCAGGGGAGACUGGAAUUCCUGGUGUAGCGGUGAAAUGCGCAGAUAUCAGGAGGAACACCGGUGGCGAAGGCGGGUCUCUGGGCCGAUACUGACGCUGAGGAGCGAAAGCGUGGGGAGCGAACAGGAUUAGAUACCCUGGUAGUCCACGCCGUAAACGGUGGGCGCUAGGUGUGGGGGCCAUUCCACGGUCUCUGUGCCGCAGCUAACGCAUUAAGCGCCCCGCCUGGGGAGUACGGCCGCAACGGCU